rnacentral:rRNA from 1 species
CAGCAGCCGCGGUAAUACGUAGGGUGCAAGCGUUAAUCGGAAUUACUGGGCGUAAAGCGUGCGCAGGCGGUUAUAUAAGACAGAUGUGAAAUCCCCGGGCUCAACCUGGGAACUGCAUUUGUGACUGUAUAGCUAGAGUACGGCAGAGGGGGAUGGAAUUCCGCGUGUAGCAGUGAAAUGCGUAGAUAUGCGGAGGAACACCGAUGGCGAAGGCAAUCCCCUGGGCCUGUACUGACGCUCAUGCACGAAAGCGUGGGGAGCAAACAGGAUUAGAUACCCCUGUAGUCCUGUCUCUUAUACA